rnacentral:rRNA from 1 species
UACGUAGGUGACAAGCGUUGUCCGGAUUUGCUGGGCGUAAAGAGCGCGCAGGCGGUCGUGCAAGUCGGGUGUGAAAGCCCCCGGCUCAACUGGGGAGGGUCAUUCGAUACUGAUCGACUCGAAGGCAGGAGAGGGAAGUGGAAUUCCCGGUGUAGUGGUGAAAUGCGUAGAUAUCGGGAGGAACACCAGUGGCGAAGGCGACUUCCUGGCCUGUUCUUGACGCUGAGGCGCGAAAGCUAGGGGAGCAAACGGG